AUCCAAGUGACGAGUCCCAAAUAGGAUGAAAUGCGCGUUCUGGAU
rfam:Schistosoma rodhaini strain Burundi genome assembly, scaffold: SROB_scaffold0002815